rnacentral:rRNA from 1 species
GACGAACGCUGGCGGCGUGCUUAACACAUGCAAGUCGAACGGAAAGGCCCUGCUUUUGUGGGGUGCUCGAGUGGCGAACGGGUGAGUAACACGUGAGUAACCUGCCCUUGACUUUGGGAUAACUUCAGGAAACUGGGGCUAAUACCGGAUAGGAGCUCCUGCUGCAUGGUGGGGGUUGGAAAGUUUCGGCGGUUGGGGAUGGACUCGCGGCUUAUCAGCUUGUUGGUGGGGUAGUGGCUUACAAAGGCUUUGACGGGUAGCCGGCCUGAGAGGGUGACCGGCCACCUUGGGACUGAGAUACGGCCCAGACUCCUACGGGAGGCAGAAGUGGGAAAUAUUGCACAAUGGGCGGAAGCCUGAUGCAGCAACGCCGCGUGCGGGAUGACGGCCUUCGGGUUGUAAACCGCUUUCGCCUGUGACGAAGCGUGAGUGACGGUAAUGGGUAAAGAAGCACCGGCUAACUACGUG